GCCCUUCUGAAAAGCACUUGUUGGGUCUUUGUUCAGUGGCCCAGUGAGCUGUCGUGGAAGGGCACAGCAAAGGCAUCGCUUUUGGGUGAAGUAGCAGCCUGUGCUGUUUAUUUCAAUCAGUGGUGUGACAUUG
rnacentral:snoRNA from 1 species